UGGCAGGAGAGAAGCGCGGGAGCGGCCAGGGCGCUGGUUCCUGUGAGCCGGGUGGAGGAGGGCGGGGGCUAGGGCUGCGCAGGCGGAAGAGCGAGCCGGGAAGAGCGGAAAAUCUGCCGGUGCUGCAACUGCCCGAGUUCUGCGUGCUUCCGUAGCCGCCUAUUCGGGGUAGAGCGGAGCCGAACUGCGCUCCAGUGCACAAGAACCGUGGUGUCCCCUCCCACCCCCGGUAGGAAGCCAGUCCUGAAUCGGGAGGCGUGGUAGCCACCGACACCUAACGCCACUCUCCGGAGUGAUUUCCUGCGGCCUCUGCGGCCUCAAGAGAGCACCGAAGGGGAGCUUAAGGAAUGUACUCGGCACAAGCAGGCCUGUCACAGGGGCAGCCCCUCCCGAACUCGGUGACGUGAAUCUUGGAAGCGGACAGCUCCAGCCUGAAGUCUCUCAGGGUACACAGCAGCUUAGCGCACACAGCCAGAGGUAACCCAAGAAGCUCCCUUUAGAACACCAGGUUGUCCUCAGAAUUCACUCUCCACCAUGGGACAAGAAAAAAGUUGAGGGUAGUAGACCUCAAACACCAGAAAGAAACGGUAAGGUCUUUGCGUGCUCUGAGUCCAGUUACACCGAACACAAAUCCAUCACCCCUAAAGAAAAUGAGCAAUCGAACAAGCAGCUCUCUAACAAGACCCAUGUAAUACGGUAUUGCUGCCCUGGGUAAGAAGUAAGAGCAUAAGCAGGUGCAUUUCCUGCCAAUAAAGGAAUGAAAAGACCCACAAAGAAAACUGAAGACACUUGUAUAGAAGAGAUCAACCAUCUCAGAAAGCAAAAUGAGUAAAGAAUUGGGAAUCAAUACAGCAGAACAAAGCUGAAGCCUAAGUCCUGGAAUCAGGAAAGCCAGCAAGAAGCAAGCCGAUUCCUGCCACAGACUCCCAUCAGCUCAGGAAUAAGAGGCACCUGGUCCUCAGAGCCGGGAGAGACUGAAAACAUAAAAUAGCUGUGAAUCUUUAAAAUGCACAUCUGAGCACCCUUAUAUGCCUCACUAAACGAGGCCUGGUGACUACCCCACCCCGCUGGCAGCCUGAAAGAAAACCAGAGUGAAAAUUUACCCCCAAGAUAAAACUGAAGAGGGCUUGACCUCAGGGACACCAGAUAAGACAUAAAGGCCAAGAGUAAAUUCAGUAGAGAUGGAAUAAAGCUGAGGAAACCACCCAAAAAUGAUAAAGAAGCAGUUUGAGCAAA